AUCGCUUCUCGGCCUUUUAGCUAAGAUCAAGUGUAGUAUCUAUUCUUAUCAGUUUAAUAUCUGAUAUGUCCUCCAUCUGAGGACAAUAUAUUAAAUAUAUUUUUAGAGUCUGGGGAUGGAAUAGGAGCUUGCUCCAUCCACUCAACGCAUCGACCUGGUAUUGCAGUACCUCCAGGAACGGUGCACCCCCU
rnacentral:snRNA from 1 species